CUCACUUAGCAACAAGACAUUUCGGGCUCUGUUUUGGUCGUAAGUCGAGGACUGCCUGUACCGCUUAAGUAAUUUUCAUUCCCACGGAUGAAGUGUCCUGCAGUCAAGUGGUUCCCGCGGGGUUUUUCUCACCGCCUACGACCCUUCUUUUUUAGGAAGAACCGGACGAAGGCUACGAGAAGUGGCGCGUGGAGAAUUCCUGGGGUGAAGACCGUGGGAAUAAAGGUUACCUGCUCAUGACCGACGAGUGGUUCUCCGAGUUCGUGUACGAAGUGGUCACCGACCGCAAACACGUGCCAGAGGAAGUCCUGGAGGUCUUACAACAAGAGCCCAUUCGCCUGCCUGCCUGGGAUCCCAUGGGGGCUCUGGCCCACUGAGCAGUCGGGACAAGGAGGGGACGACCCCCCCACCCCCUCUCCUGGGUCAACUCCAAGCCGGUGGGAGACCCGGGGGUCUGCGGCCGAGCCCUCCCAGGGGGAGGGGGGACCGAGUGUCCCAACUAGAGGUGCUAACAUUCACACACACACACGUACACACACACCCCUCCCCAUCCUUCGGAAGGCACUGUCCAUCUCUGGCCAUUGGUGGUAACACAGUGCCACAUUUCUUUCUUUUUUAAAAAAAAUAUGGCUUCUUAAAAAACUCAUCAUAAUGCACUCAUUUGGAAGCGGAGAAGGGAUUCUUUUGAACGAGGUGUAUGCAGAAUAUAUAUAUAUAUAUAUAUAGAGAGAGAGAGAUUUUAGGAUUUGUUUGUAGGCUGGAAAUGGAGGGUCACAUCGA
rnacentral:lncRNA from 1 species